CGGCUAUAAGGAUGUUGGAUAGAAGCAAUGUAAGGCAGAAGGCCAUUACCAGAGGGGUUUUGUCAUGGUACACAGCCAUCUGGGCUUGGUCUAUCGGGAAGCUGAACAUUUGAUCCCACAAGUCUUGAAAGGGAAAUGAGCCAGUGAGUCUGUAUUCCAAUACAUCGCUUACAGAUUUAACUCUAUCCACAUGGAAGCCCCGUAACUGGAGUGAGUUCGGCCUUAGAGGCUCCUUUGAAAGCGGCAUAUCUUCAGCCUCUGCAAAAUAACGAAAAUGGCCGUCACAAAACCCAGCAAGAAAGCAACCUACGUCGAAGACACUGCACUGGCGGGGUAGAAACCAUUUCGGAACCCAGGAUGGGAAGUCACUCUGAGCUGGGUCAUCCGUGUGCUGCACAUGCGACAACACAGUAAGAACC
rnacentral:sRNA from 1 species